AACGAACGCUGGCGGCAUGCCUAACACAUGCAAGUCGAACGAGACCUUCGGGUCUAGUGGCGCACGGGUGAGUAACGUGUGGGAACCUGCCCUUAGGUUCGGAAUAACUCCCCGAAAGGGGUGCUAAUACCGGAUAAUGUCUUCGGACCAAAGAUUUAUCGCCUUUGGAUGGGCCCGCGUUGGGUUAGCUAGUUGGUAGGGUAAAAGCCUACCAAGGCGACGAUCCAUAGCUGGUCUGAGAGGAUGAUCAGCCACACUGGGACUGAGACACGGCCCAGACUCCUACGGGAGGCAGCAGUGGGGAAUAUUGGACAAUGGGCGAAAGCCUGAUCCAGCAAUGCCGCGUGAGUGAUGAAGGCCUUAGGGUUGUAAAGCUCUUUUAACCGGGAUGAUAAUGACAGUACCGGGAGAAUAAGCUCCGGCUAACUCCGUG
rnacentral:rRNA from 1 species